GAUGAACGCUGGCGGCGUGCCUAAUACAUGCAAGUCGAGCGAACAGACGAGGAGCUUGCUCCUCUGACGUUAGCGGCGGACGGGUGAGUAACACGUGGAUAACCUACCUAUAAGACUGGGAUAACUUCGGGAAACCGGAGCUAAUACCGGAUAAUAUAUUUAACCGCAUGGUUCAAUAGUGAACGACGGUUUUGCUGUCACUUAUAGAUGGAUCCGCGCCGCAUUAGCUAGUUGGUAAGGUAACGGCUUACCAAGGCAACGAUGCGUAGCCGACCUGAGAGGGUGAUCGGCCACACUGGAACUGAGACACGGUCCAGACUCCUACGGGAGGCAGCAGUAGGGAAUCUUCCGCAAUGGGCGAAAGCCUGACGGAGCAACGCCGCGUGAGUGAUGAAGGUCUUCGGAUCGUAAAACUCUGUUAUUAGGGAAGAACAAAUGUGUAAGUAAAUAUGCACGUCUUGACGGUACCUAAUCAGAAAGCCACGGCUAACUACGUG
rnacentral:rRNA from 1 species